GAUGAACGCUGGCGGCGUGCUUAACACAUGCAAGUCGAACGGACAAGGUGAAACCUAGUGAUCCUUGUUAGUGGCGGACGGGUGAGUAACGCGUGGGCAACCUGCCUCAUACAGGGGGGAUAACAGUUAGAAAUAGCUGCUAAUACCGCAUAAGCGCACAGUACCGCAUGGUACGGUGUGAAAAACUCCGGUGGUAUGAGAUGGACCCGCGUCUGAUUAGCUAGUUGGUGGGGUAAAGGCCUACCAAGGCGACGAUCAGUAGCCGGCCUGAGAGGGUGACCGGCCACAUUGGGACUGAGACACGGGCCCAAACUCCUACGGGAGGCAGCAGUGGGGAAUAUUGCACAAUGGGGGAAACCCUGAUGCAGCAACGCCGCGUGAAGGAAG
rnacentral:rRNA from 1 species